GGGGGUGUAGCUCAAGUGGUAGAGCGUGUGCUUAGCAUGCACAGGGUCCUGGGUUCAAUCCCCAGUAGCUCCU
rnacentral:tRNA from 1 species